AUGGCUCAGAUUGAACGCUGGCGGCGUGCUUAACACAUGCAAGUCGCGCGUGAAAGGACUUCGGUCCGAGUAAAGCGGCGCACGGGUGAGUAACGCGUGGAUGAUCUACCCAUGAGUUAGGAAUAACGGCUGGAAACGGUCGCUAAUACCAAAUACGCUCCGAUUUCAACUUCGGGGGAAAGGUGGCCUCUGCUUGCAAGCUACUGCUCAUGGAUGAGUCCGCGUCCCAUUAGCUAGUUGGUGGGGUAACGGCCCACCAAGGCGACGAUGGGUAGCCGGUCUGAGAGGAUGACCGGCCACACUGGGACUGGAACACGGCCCAGACUCCUACGGGAGGCAGCAGUGGGGAAUAUUGCGCAAUGGGCGAAAGCCUGACGCAGCGACGCCGCGUGAGGGAUGAAGGUCCUCGGAUCGUAAACCUCUGUCAGGAGGGAAGAACCGCCACGGUGCUAAUCAGCCGUGGUCUGACGGUACCUCCAAAGGAAGCACCGGCUAACUCCGUGCCAGCAGCCGC
rnacentral:rRNA from 1 species